UUGAAUACGAUUGGUACUGAUGCUGGCCCUUCACUGGGCAUGUGCUCGUCCAUCUAUUUAUCUUCUCUUGUGCACAUCUUGUAGUCUUGGAUGAACCCUUGCGCAUUCGUGCGGUCUGGGAGUUGCGAAUUAAAACCUUGCUUCUCCUGCUUGUCCAAGGCUAUGUUUUCAUAUACACUAUAAAGUUACAGAAUGUCAAUUAACGACUUGUGCUUGUCACGGUCAUUAAACCUAUA
rnacentral:misc_RNA from 1 species